rnacentral:tRNA from 1 species
UGGGGUGUAGCUCAAUUGGCAGAGCGCCUGGCUGUUAACCAGGAGGUUGGUGGUUCAAGUCCACCCGCCCCAG